AGAUGUCAAUCACGACGCAGCAGCUCCAAGAACAGCUGCGGGACCUGAAAGUGCAGCUGGAAACCAAGGUAAACUAUUGUGAGGAGGAAAUGGAGCUAAUGAGGAAAACUUUGAAAGAGAGAAGGACAGCAAGGAAAACGUCAAGGCUGAGAUGAGCAAGGUGGAAGACCAGGAAGAAGACCUGAAAGAAACAGUUUCAAAGAACCAGGCUAUAACUGAUGUCAUGAAAGAGCAAAAAGGUGUGCAGAGCCUGCAGCUGAAGGAGAGGUUUGAGAUGAAGCCAGCCAGGGUUGAACUUCAGCACACUGAGGACAUAGGCCAUCCAAGGCAGCAACUGAACCAGGAAGGAGAAGAGCUGAGAACACAUUGCAGGAACAGAGGGAGCCUCAGGGGAGAGCAGAGCUGGCUUCUGGAGGAGGACAGCUUGCUGAAAAAUCAACCUGGGAGACUCCAGCAAGAGCAGAGGAAGGCUAAGGAGGAGUGCAGCAGACAUGAAGAGAAACACAUGAGCAAGUUGAGCAGAGAGAAGGUAGAAAAGCUGGCUGUAGCAAUAAAGCUGAAGAAGUCGAGUGGAAAGAGUGGAAAGAGCAAUGUGGAGGUCUCCCAGACGAACAUCAAAGUGAGUAAGCUGAGCCAUGAGCUCCUGGAGCAUGAGACCGGCUGCAGCGCCAGCACUGGGUCCACCCAGCUGCAGAACCAGAGGCUCAUGGAAGUCAAGCAACUACAAGGAGUGGAGAUGGCCAUGAGGCUGGAGCACUGCCAGCAGCAUGCAGCGUGUCGGUCAGAGAUGGAGCUGCUCCGGCAGCGGCUUGAGGCAUCGCAAGAGGAACUCUUUGAAGCCAAAGCAAGCCUGAGUCUGGCUCAGACUCAGCAUGCACUGCAGCUGCAGCAGGCCAAGGCGCAGCUGAACAACAUGGUGCCAAGGAAACAGUUUGAACAGCUGCAAGCCAGCUUGAGAGAGGAACAGUGCAAGGUUCAGCAGCUCCAGGCAAACCUCCAGCAGCAGGCUGAGCAGGCAUGCAGGCAGCUGGUCAGGAUCCAGAAAGAACAUGAGCGCCUGUUGCAGGCAGCUGUGGAGCAGGCAGAGGGGUUGCACUGUGACUUAAGGAGUGCUGAAGCUGCACUUGCAGACAGGGCAGCUCAUCUCAAGGAUGCACAGGCUCAACUCUCCAGGAACAAACUGCUGAUUAAAGAUCUCCAUGAAGAAAACAGAGGGUUUGCAAUGGCCCUGCAGGCAGCUGAACUGAAGCAGAUGAACACUGAGAAGAAGAACCACAUGCUGGAGGAGCAGGCCUUGGCCUUGAAGAAACUCAUUGAAAAAAUCACACCAGCAUCUCUGAGUGCAUGAUGGAGCACGGCUGUGGCAGCCUUGCUCCUGAGCCUGGCUGAGGUUUGUCAGUUCCUCUUGGUCUCUAGGAGGCUCUGAGCCUGAAGUUUCCUAAAGCAUGAGCCUAGGAUCCAAACUAACUUUUCGUGGGGUGUAGCCUCUGCCAUAAGCAAACCAGAGCAUCUGAGGGAAGAGUCCUCUUCAGAUUUGAAUCUCCAAGGCUUGGGGCAGGGCUGGUGUCCUCUGUGCAGCACUAUACUUCAGCAAGCUGUCCUUACUGCACUUCCUCAGGGAGAGCAGAAAGCAUGAUGGGCAUCAAGCCAGGAAAGCCUGUGGUCUUACCUGGAGCUUAUGCUUUUGGAAGCAUUGUCUCUCAGCCACUACUGAAGAUACCUGGCUGUUCUUCUUCAACAAGACAGUGGUGCCAUCAUCGAUCUCAAAUUCUCCAUAGUCUCUCAAACACCGCACCUGUGAAGCAUGAAGGUAGCUGUGUCUGCAUCAGCACACCUCACACAGAAAAUAUCAGACAUCACUGCCGACAUAAGAGUUAUGGAGCAUGUGUUUGAAGUGUGGACAUAUUCCUACCCGCCUCACACCGCCCUGACCUGAAAAUACAAAACCAGAUGGACCCCAUAGUCUAAGGGCCCUACCUGAUGUUCUCUUCAUGCCUCUACCUGCAACAAGAAGCACCAGUGGGCAGAGCAGGCACUCCAGAGACCAGGGGAAAGAGGAGCACUGCACAACAGCAGCAUUUCUAGAACCUCCUCACACACGUAGCAGAGAAUGUCAGUCUGUUAACGGUGAAACAGUUAUAAAGAGCAGACUGGUUGCCUGUGUUUUCUUUCUAAGAGAACACAGCACUUCAACUACUGACUCUGAAAUCAUUUUCCACUUGCUUUUGCUUUGUUGUAUCAAUGGCAUAAAAUGAUUUAUAGUCUGAUUUGUGAAAAAUCUAUUCAAAACAAUGACAAGAAAGCACCAACAACUAGUUAACAGUGCUUAAGUGAGAACAAGGUUUCUAAUUGAUCUGAAGAGGUCUUUAGAAAAAUAAUUAAAUUUCUACAAACUA